rnacentral:lncRNA from 1 species
UAUGUCAUUAGAAACAUCAGAUUACCAUCUACAAUUAAGUCUUGUUUCGAGAAAUCCAAAAACAACACUAACCUCACGAAAAUAGGGUCUCAAAAACAUUUUAAAAAAAAUCGUUUUUCAUGCUAUUACAAAAUUAGGGUUUCAAUUAUCUCUCUAACCACUUGGUUUUUCUUUACCAAAUUUUAAACAUAGUCUCAUAUGAAGGUAAAGAACAUAACUCAAGUGUUAAAACCCAGAAAAAAUAUGCAUAGGAAAAACAAAAAUUUUGAAGACAAGCAUUCAUGGCAUAUUCAUAUAUAUCUCAUGUUUUCAAGGUUUUCAUACAUGGCAUAUUCAUAUAUAUCUCAUGCUUUCAUGCGAGGAGUGUGUGAGUGGCUUUGAUACCACUGUUGGAAGACUAUAAAUAAAUUCAAAAGGACGUAUGUGCCUUUUAUGCAGAAGCUUGAAUCUUAAAACGCUUCUGCAAACACAAACAAUUGCUUUGACCCUUCGUGCACGUCUAGAACCUCAUAGGUUGUCGAGUUGGCUAUGGUAUGUCAAGUUGCCCCUUGGUUUUCAUCUCCCAAGACCUAGAGCCGAAAGUGAGAGCUCUGAAGACCUAAACUAGAAUAUAUUGAAUUGUGGAAAAGCUUGUGUUUCUUGUGUCUUCUCUCUUCCCCAAAGCCUCCUUAUAUAGUGGUCUGGAAGAGUGUACAAAGACUGCAAAGCCCAUGAAAAUCCCAAGUAUAUUUUAAUACAAAUAUCUCUUGAUUUUCAUCUAAUUAUCACAUAGAUAAUUAGGAGGUUAAUAUCCUCAUGUGGGUGGAAUAUCCUUUGAUGUUUAUUUAUCCCAUAAGAUAAACCCUACACUCCCGUUGAGUUUCACCCAUUUCUCUUUAACCUCAAGCCCAGAGCCAUGAGAGCUCUCUUCAUUUCACAUACUGAAACCUUAGUUGCAUCUCCAUCAAAUCCUUCAUCUCUCUUUGUCAAAAACCAGAGACCAAAACCACCAUGACUACAGAAUGUGAGAGAUGUAUCUCUCUAAAACCUCACACAUAAGGAAAAUAGCCAUGCUUGCAAAAAGAGUUGCAGCCCCUUACUCCGAUCGAACGGGUGAACCGGAGAUUCCAAACAUAAAACCCUCAAACUUCUUCGUGUUAGUCUCCAUGGCUUGAUUUCAGACAAGAAAAUGAAAAAUAACUCGUGCAUGUAUGUGUCUUGUAAGUGUGGAUCCGAGUAAGGCCAAGGGAAAUAGGAACUGCAAGGACAAAUGGCGCACACGCGGAGCUGCUGUAUAUACAGCAAAGAUGGCUGCAAGAACUCAGGUCUACAAAAUGGAAGGUAAAAUCAACCCCAUUCUAAGCACUUCAGAACUUCAACAUUGUUUCUGGUUUUGUACUCCGUUGAUUUCUGCACUUUGAUAAAUGUUGAUGAAUGGAUGAUGAGUGUGUUGAAUGAAAGAAUGGACGAGAUGAGUGCUAGCAUGCUCAGUGGAUUGUAUGGUCAACUCAAAUCUAAAUGAAACCAGCAAUCACAAAUCAGAAACGUAAAUAGAUAAGUAAAGAAAAAUAACAAGAAUUAAAAAUUGCAUUUUUUUUCUUUCAAUUUUCUGAAUAUUUUUUUUUAUUUGUUGUGAUUUUUUUUUAAGAAAUAAAAACAUAGAAGCAAAUAAACAAAAAUAAAAAGAAAGAAGUUAGAAAAAUUGGGUUGCCUCCCAAUUAACCUUUAGUUAAUGUCUAUAGCUAGAUUGAGCGGAAAGUUGGUAAUCACGUCACUUGUUCCAUCAAAGUCAACCACUCCUUUAUAACGUCAUAGGGCAAUAGUAGGUACGGAGUGAAUUGAUAUUUAAAAACUGAGCAUUUAAAACCAGAGGGUGAGUUUUUCUCGGCCACCCUUCUCUGGGAAUGAGUCUUUGUAAACAAAAAAGGUCCCUUGAUU